rnacentral:rRNA from 1 species
AUUAAACGCUGGCGGCAUGCCUUACACAUGCAAGUCGAACGGCAGCACGGGAGCAAUCCUGGUGGCGAGUGGCGAACGGGUGAGUAAAGUAUCGGAACGUGCCCAGUCGUGGGGGAUAACGUAGCGAAAGUUACGCUAAUACCGCAUACGAUCUAUGGAUGAAAGCGGGGGAUCGCAAGACAUCGCGCGAUUGGAGCGGCCGAUAUCAAAUUAGGUAGUUGGUGGGGUAAAGGCUCACCAAGCCGACGAUCUGUAGCUGGUCUGAGAGGACGACCAGCCACACUGGGACUGAGACACGGCCCAGACUCCUACGGGAGGCAGCAGUGGGGAAUUUUGGACAAUGGGCGCAAGCCUGAUCCAGCCAUGCCGCGUGCAGGAUGAAGGCCUUCGGGUUGUAAACUGCUUUUGUACGGAACGAAAAGGUUUGACUUAAUACGUUGGACUCAUGACGGUACCGUAAGAAUAAGCACCGGCUAACUACGUGCCAGCAGCCGCCGUAAUAC